rnacentral:rRNA from 1 species
AUAGGAUUGGCCCAUGCUAGGUAUUUUAACCCCUGAGCUACCACCCAUAAUUAUAUAGAUUCACUUUACCUUGUCUUUUUAAUCUUUGAGAUUGUUCUUUUGAUGUUCAUGACUCUUUUGAAAUUUAGGACUAUAUACUAGUGAUGUGGACAUGUGGAUAAAUUAAUUGAGGAAGAAAACAAUAAUAUAGGAAGAAAAUGUAACUUUGUUGUGCAACUUAGGAACUUAUAUGACUCGUGAACUUCAUUUGGGCACAAAGAACAUAUAUAGAUGAUCAACGAAGGUGUGUGGCAAUUACCUUACAAGUAGUAAAUGAUUCCAUAAGAUGUAUAACAGUUGAGCAAGUAAUUCUUCUUACAAGAUGCUUCAUUUAAAACACGUUUGGACAUUUCGCAUGGGGGCAUACAAUAACUUAGCACUUAGUAGAGACUGUAACUUCUCAAAUGUAGAGGCAAGGAGUAUAUAAGAUGAUAUGAAUAGUUAAACACUUAGUAUACAAUAUCAAAUGAAAGAGUGCAUAAACAUCCAAACUAAUGAUGCCCGUGACAGAACCCAAGAUGGAGGUCUAUAGCGAUACUGACGUACAAAUCGUUCAUUUGACUUGGGUAUAGGGGUGAAAGACUAAUUGAACCGUCUAUUAGAUAGUUCCCUUCGAAGUUUCCCUCAGAAUAGUUGGAGCUCGCGUGCGAGUUCUAUUGGGUAAAGCCAAUGAUUAGAGGCUUCGUGGGCGCAACACCCUUGACCUAUUCUCAAACUUUAAAUCAGUAAGACGGUGCGACUACUUUGUUGAGUUGCACCACGGAAUCAAGAGCUCAAAGAGGGCCAUUUUUGGGAAGCUGAACUGGCGAUGCGGGAUGAACCAAAAGCCGGCUUAUGAUGCCAAACUGCACGCUAACCAAGAUCCAACAAAGGGUGUUGGUCGAUUAAGACAGCAUGAAGGUGGUCAUGGAAGUCAAAAUUUGCUAAGGAGUGUGUACCAACUAACCUGCCGAGUAUACUAGCCCAAAAAAUAGAUGGCGCUUAAGCGCGCGACCUACACCCAGCCGUCGGGGCAAGUGCCAGACUCCGAUGAGUUGGAGGGAAUGGCGGUCACUGCAAAACCUUGGGCAUGAGCCUAGGUGGAGCAGCCAUCAGUGCAGAUCUUGGUGGUAGUAGCAAAUAUUCAAAUAAGAACUUUGAAGGACGAAAAGGGGAAAGGUUCAAUGAACGACACUAGCACAUGGGUUAGUCGAUCCUAUGGGUCAGGGGAACCCCGAAAGAUAGCCCAUUUCGCACGUACUUUGAAAGGGAAACGGGUAAAAAUUCCUGAAUCAGGACGUGGCGAUUGACGACAACGUUAGGAAGUUGGCAGAUGUCGGUGGGAGCCUCGGGAAGAGUUGUCUUUUCUGUUUAACAGCAUGCCUACCAUGGAGUCAGCUCUGCCGGAGGUAGGGUACAAUGGCUGGAAGAGCACCACACGUCACGUAGUGUUCGGUGCGCUCCCGGCGACCCUUGAAAAUCCAGAGGACUGAAUGUCGUCCACGCCCGGUGGUACUCAUAACCGCAUCAGGUCUCCAAGGUGAAUAACCUCUGAUUGAUGGAACAAUGUAGGCAAGGGAAGUCGGCAAAAUGGAUCCGUAACUUUGGGAAAAGAAUUGGCUAUGAGGGUUUGGCAUGGGGUCCCAGUCCCGAACCCACUAGCUGUCGGUGGACUGCUUGAGUUGAUCCCGCAGAAAUAGCGGGUCGCCGUGGCUGGCAGGGGGACGGACUAGGAACGGUUCCUUUGAGGGCCUUCCCCGGGAGUCCAACAGUCAACUCAGAAGUGGUACUGACAAGGGGAAUCCGACUAUUUAAUUAAAAACAAAUAUUGCGAUGGUCCGAACAGAUGUUUACGCAAUGUGAUUUUUGUCCAGUGCUCUAAAUGUCAAGGUGAAGAAAUUCAACCAUGUGGAGGGUAAAUAGCCGGAGUAACUAUGACUCUCUUAAGGUAGCCAAAUGCCUCGUCAUCUAAUUAGUGAUGCGCAUGAAUGUAUUAACAAGAUUCCCACUUUCCCUGUCUAAUAUCCAGUGAAACCACAGCCAAGGGAAUAGGCUUGGUAGAAUAAACUGGGAAAGAAGACCCUAUUGAGCUUGAGUCUAGUCCGACUUUAUGAAAUGACUUGAGAGGUGUAGCAUAAGUGGGAGUCGAAAGGCAAAAGUGAAAUACCACUGCUUUUUAAUGUUAUUUUACUUAUUUCGUGAAUCGAAAGCGGGAGACUACCCCUCUUUUUGGACCCAUGGCUCGCUUUGCGGGACGAUCCGGGGGGAAGACAUUGUCAGGUGGGGAGUUUGGCUAGGGCAGCACAUCUGUUAAAAGAUAAUGCAGGUGUCCUAAGAUGAGCUCAAUAAGAAUAGAAAAACUGUGUGGAUCAGAAAGAUAAAAGCUCGUUUGAUUCUGAUUUCUAGUACAAAUAUGAACCGUGAGAGCGUGGCCUAAUGAUCCUUUAGACCUUCGAAAUUCUAAGCUGGAGGAGUAAGAAAAGUUACCACAAGGAUAACUAGCUUGUGGUAGCCAAGCUAUAUAGCGAAGUUUAUUUUUUAUCCUUCGAUGUCGUCUCUUCCUGUCAUUGUGAAGCAGAGUUCACCAAGUGUUGGAUUGUUCACCCACCAAUAGGGAACGUGAGCUGGGUUUAGAUCAUCUUGAGACAGGUUAGUUUUACCCUAGUGAUGACAGUGUCGCAAUAGUAAUUAAACCUAGUAAGAGAGAAACCGUUGAUUCACAUAAUUGGUCAUCGCGCUUGGUUGAAAAGCCAGUGGCGCGAAGCUACCGUGUGAUGGAUUAUGACUGAACGCCUCUAAGUCAGAAUCCGGGUAAGAAGCGACGCAUGCGCCUGCCAUCCGCUUGCCGACCCGCAGUAGGGGCCUUUGGGCCCCAAGGGAAUGUUUUGUUAGCUAAGUCACCACGACGGAAGCGUCGCGGUG